AUAAUCUACCUGGGAAAGUAGUUCUUCAGAAUUGAAGAACACAAAAAGAGUUUUCCAGAAGAGCAAAAGCUAAAAGAGUUCAUCACCACUAGACC